rnacentral:rRNA from 1 species
GACGAACGCUGGCGGCGUGCUUAACACAUGCAAGUCGAACGGAAAGGCCCUGCUUGCGGGGGGUGCGAGUGUCGAACGGGGGAGUAACACGUGGGUGAUCUGCCCCUUACUUUGGGGUAAGCCUGGAAAACUGGGUCGAAUACUGGAUAUGGCCGUGCUUUAGGUGGGGUGGUGGAAAGAUUAGUUUCGGUGAGGGAUGAGAUCGCGGCCUAUCAGCUUGUUGGUGGGGUAAUGGCGUACCAAGGCGUCGACGGGUGGCCGGCCUGCGAGGGUGGUCGGCCACAUUGGGGGUGAGGUACGGCGCAGACUCCUACGGGAGGCAGCAGUGGGGGAUAAUGCACAAUGGGGGGAAGACGGAUGAAGCGGCGCCGCGUGGGGGAUGACGGCCUUCGGGUUGUAAACUACUGCCAGCCAUUGCGAAGCAGUUGUGGUGACGGUAGUGGUAGAAGAAGCACCGGCUAACUACGUG